rnacentral:misc_RNA from 1 species
AAAACACUCUGUACGUAGGAGGAUUAGCAGAGGAGGUGAAUGAGGCAAUACUACAUGCUGCGUUCAUACCAUUUGGGGAUAUUAAGGAUGUGAAGACCCCAUUAGAUCAUGCCACUCAAAAGCAUCGAUCUUUUGGGUUUGUGACCUUCCUUGAAAGAGAAGAUGCUUCCGCCGCCAUGGAUAAUAUGGAUGGUGCUGAGCUUUAUGGACGUGUACUUACUGUUAAUUAUGCUCUUCCUGAGAAGAUUA